rnacentral:rRNA from 1 species
CAGUUGGGGAAUAUUGCUACAAUGGGCGCAAGCCUGAUGCAGCCAUGCCGUCGUGUAUGAAGUAAGGCCUUCGGGUUGUAAAGUACUUUUCAGUCAGUGUAGGAAGGUGGGUGUCGUUAAUAGUCGGCAUCAUUUUGACGUUUAGCUUGCAGAAGAAGCACCGGCUAACUCCGUGCCAGCAGCCGCGGUAAUACGGAGGGUGCGAGCGUUAAUCGGAAUUACUGGGCGUAAAGCGCAUGCAGGUGGUUUGUUAAGUCAGAUGUGAAAGCCCGGGGCUCAACCUCGGAAUUGCAUUUGAAACUGGCAGACUAGAGUACUGUAGAGGGGGUAGAAUUUCAGGUGUAGCGGUGAAAAUGCGUAGAGAUCUGAAGGAAUACCGGUGGCGAAGGCGGCCCCCUGGACAGAUACUGACACUCAGAUGCGAAAGCGUGGGAGCAAACAGGAUUAGAUACCCUGGUAG